rnacentral:lncRNA from 1 species
GGAUGACUGCACCCAUGCGCGCCAGAUGACUCCAACCAGCACAGGGGAGAGCCGCCUGUAAACUGUGAAGUCCUGCAUAUAGGUUCCCAACCCAAACUGGCUAGCCUGUUCUAAUAUCUGCAGUGUUCCGAGCUGGUUGAGCUGCAGAGGGGAAGAACACAGCUAGGAGACUGGACACCUGGCUUCUAUUCCUGGCUCACCGACUUGGGCCAUAAACAAGAUAUCUGGCCUCCUGGACCUCAGUUCCUCCAUUCAUGACACCAGCGGGUCAGCAGCCCUUCCUGCUCUUACACUGAAAAUGAAAGGAAAUUGAUAGAAAUGCAGUAUCAGUUGCUAUUGGGGAAGCCAUGUUGUGAGCAGUCCUGUGGAGAGGCCCACGUGGUGACAAACUGCAGCCUCCUGGGUGAGCUUGAAAGUGGAUUCUUCAGUCUCAGUCAAAUCUCCAGAGACAGCAGCCUUGAGGGGCAGCUUGAUUCCCACCACUUGGGAGACCCUGAGCCAGAACUGCCCAGCUGAGCUACUUCAGGAUGUCCGACCCUCAGAAACUGACCACGCCGAGCCCCACUGACAGGGAUCCAAACACUCCUUAUUGCUAUUCCAUCCAAGCUCAUCACGGAACUUUGAACAAUUGCACAGCAUGCCUCGGGCAAUCAAGUCUCCGCCGACUCCAAGUGAUGGAGUCCUCAUGGCCAACCGGCUGCCUCCCAAUAACCUGGACUGUGAGAAAUGAGUGUCAGAUGGAAAGACAGUCUUCGUCUGGACCUGAAGCAGACUCUGCAGAAAAGGUGACAUGCCAGGGCUCCCCACUUCAGGAGGCACUGGCAACCCUGUUUACCUAAUCUGUACCUCUGGCGGAAUCCCCGUCCCCGGGCCUGCCGGGUGUGCCAUUUUGAGGAUAUGGAGCCAGUGGCUCCAUCUCAGCCCUCCUGAGGGCACGGCUCUUCUGAAUACUUCAUUCCUUCAUUGUAAACCUGAAAGCACCACAGCCCAAAGCCGUCAGCAAAUCAUGAAGACAACUGCAGAUUUCAACGGGAGGAAGAGACGAAAGCCAGAAACUUCUGCUGGUUUCCUGACGAAGUGCUGGGGGUCGUUGUUUCUGUGAUUUAUCUAAAUGUGCGGCCUCCAAUCCGGGUUUGAAAAUCCCAAGGAUGCUCCAAAGUUCCUCUAGAGGGAGCCAGAAGGAGGCUGAGAAAGUGGGGUUCAGGGUCCCCAUUCCCACACUAACCAGAGCCAUUCCGCUUUUAUCUCAUUUUUAAAAAAAUUUAAAAUUUUACUUAGUGUAAAAGUUGUUUACUAUUUUUUACUGAAGUGUUUUGUUGCUACAACCAAACUAGCAAACUACAGGUC